GUCUAUGACCAUGCCACCCUAAAUGGGCCCAAACCCUCCCGAUCCCAUCUGAUCUAGAAAGCUAAGUAGGGUCGGCCCUGGUUAGUACUUGGAUGGGAGAACAUCUAGGAAGACCAGGUGCUGUAGAUG
rnacentral:rRNA from 1 species